rnacentral:rRNA from 1 species
AGUCGGACGGAUAGGGGGGCUUGCCCUUCUGGUUAGUGGCGAACGGGUGAGUAACACGUGAGUAACCUGCCCUUCACUCUGGGAUAACGCUGGGAAACUGGUGCUAAUACUGGAUACGACCUGAACAGGCAUCUGUAUCGGGUGGAAAGAUUUAUUGGUGGGGGAUGGACUCGCGGCCUAUCAGCUUGUUGGUGAGGUAAUGGCUUACCAAGGCGACGACGGGUAGCCGGCCUGAGAGGGCGAUCGGCCACACUGGGACUGAGACACGGCCCAGACUCCUACGGGAGGCAGCAGUGGGGAAUAUUGCACAAUGGGCGGAAGCCUGAUGCAGCGACGCCGCGUGGGGGAUGAAGGCCUUCGGGUUGUAAACCUCUUUCGGCAGGGAAGAAGCGCCUGGGUUUUCUUGGGUGUGACGGUACCUGCAGAAGAAGCACCGGCUAACUACGUGCCAGCAGCCGCGGUAAUACGUAGGGUGCGAGCGUUGUCCGGAAUUAUUGGGCGUAAAGAGCUUGUAGGCGGUUUGUCGCGUCUGCUGUGAAAUUUCGGGGCUCAACCCCGAACUUGCAGUGGGUACGGGCAGACUAGAGUGUGGUAGGGGAGACUGGAAUUCCUGGUGUAGCGGUGAAAUGCGCAGAUAUCAGGAGGAACACCGAUGGCGAAGGCAGGUCUCUGGGCCACUACUGACGCUGAGAAGCGAAAGCAUGGGGAGCGAACAGGAUUAGAUACCCUGGUAGUCCAUGCCGUAAACGUUGGGAACUAGGUGUGGGCCUCAUUCCACGAGGUCCGUGCCGCAGCUAACGCAUUAAG